rnacentral:tRNA from 1 species
GCCGACGUGGCUCGAUGCAGAAAGGCAUCCGCCUUGUAAGCGGAUUGAUGCUGGUGCGAAUCCAGUCGUCGGCC